AUCCCUUGCAGAGAGAAUCCCUGACAAGUUUGCAAAUCAACCUCCCCUUCUGCAACUAACAUCAGUAAAUUGCCAUAUCUCCUAAAAUGUAGUAGCUGCCAUUUUCUCAUAAUACUAAGUGGAGGGAAUUCUCUUAAAAACAACUGAGGAGGAGAGACAGAGAAGACAGCUAUGAUCAGAGGCGCCAUCACUGAUAGGACUCAGUCUGCAGGACAGCAUGAUCUGGCUCCACAAAUACAGAAUAAUCUUCAUACGAGCUUUAGUUGGUUUGUCAGAAGACACUAUCAUUCAUCCGUAUUCAAGGUUUAUUUACAGCCCAUGUCUCUUGGGCCUCAAUAGUUCACUGCUCUUGAAUGUAAGGAAGAGAUGCAAGUAUGUACAAGACAGUUUUGACCUCAGAAAACAUAGGGCCAAUCAUCAAGGCUCAAACAAACUGCUGGCAAGACCUCUGUGCAGUCAGAUUUGACAACAAAGAACACACAUGAGAAC
ensembl:lncRNA